rnacentral:rRNA from 1 species
GAGUUUGAUUCUGGCUCAGGAUGAACGCUGACAGAAUGCUUAACACAUGCAAGUCAACUUGAACUUCGGUUUGGGUGGCGGACGGGUGAGUAACGCGUAAAGAACUUGCCUCACAGUCUGGGACAACAUCUGGAAACGGAUGCUAAAACUGGAUAUUAUGAACUAUGCGCAUGCAUGGAUUAUGAAAGCUAUAUGCGCUGUGAGAGAGCUUUGCGUCCCAUUAGCUAGUUGGAGAGGUAACGGCUCACCAAGGCGAUGAUGGGUAGCCGGCCUGAGAGGGUGAACGGCCACAAGGGGACUGAGACACGGCCCUUACUCCUACGGGAGGCAGCAGUGGGGAAUAUUGGACAAUGGACCAAGAGUCUGAUCCAGCAAUUCUGUGUGCACGAUGAAGUUUUUCGGAAUGUAAAGUGCUUUCAGUUGGGAAGAAGAAAGUGACGNACCAACAGAAGAGCGACGG